rnacentral:rRNA from 1 species
UACGGGGGGGGCAAGCGUUGUUCGGAAUUACUGGGCGUAAAGAGCUCGUAGGCGGUUCGUCGCGUCGGCUGUGAAAACCCGAGGCUCAACCUCGGGCCUGCAGUCGAUACGGGCGGACUGGAGUUCGGCAGGGGAGACUGGAAUUCCUGGUGUAGCGGUGAAAUGCGCAGAUAUCAGGAGGAACACCGGUGGCGAAGGCGGGUCUCUGGGCCGAUACUGACGCUGAGGAGCGAAAGCGUGGGGAGCGAACAGG